rnacentral:rRNA from 1 species
GAUGAACGCUGGCGGCGUGCCUAAUACAUGCAAGUCGAGCGAACAGACGCGGAGCUUGCUCCUCUGACGUUAGCGGCGGACGGGUGAGUAACACGUGGAUAACCUACCUAUAAGACUGGGAUAACUUCGGGAAACCGGAGCUAAUACCGGAUAAUAUAUUGCACCGCAUGGUUCAAUAGUGAAAGACGGUUUUGCUGUCACUUAUAGAUGGAUCCGCGCCGCAUUAGCUAGUUGGUAAGGUAACGGCUUACCAAGGCAACGAUGCGUAGACGACCUGAGAGAGUGAUCGGCCACACUGGAACUGAGACACGGUCCAGACUCCUACGAGAGGCAGCAGUAGGGAAUCUUCCGCAAUGGGCGAAAGCUUGACGGAGCAACGCCGCGUGAGUGAUGAAGGUCUUCGGAUCGUAAAACUCUGUUAUGAGGGAAGAACAAAUGUGUAAGUAACUAUGCACGUCUUGACGGUACCUAAUCAGAAAGCCACGGCUAACUACGUG